AUUGAACGCUGGCGGCAGGCCUAACACAUGCAAGUCGAGCGAGCGGCGGACGGGUGAGUAAUGCCUAGGAAUCUGCCUGGUAGUGGGAGAUAACGUCCGGAAACGGGCGCUAAUACCGCAUACCAUCAGAUGAACCCAUGUGGGAUUAGCUUGUAGUUGAGGUAACGGCUCACCUAGGCGACGAUCCCUAGCUGGUCUGAGAGGAUGAUCAGCCACACGGGGACUGAGACACGGCCCAGACUCAUAUGGGAGGCAGUGGGGGGGAAUAUUGCACAAGGGGCGCAGGCCUGAUGCAGCCAUGCCGCGUGUAUGAAGAAGGCCUUCGGGUUGUAAAGUACUUUCAGUCGGGAGGCGGUACCGACAGAAGAAGCACCGGCUAACUCCGUGCCAGCAGCCGCGGUAAUUC
rnacentral:rRNA from 1 species